AAAUGAAUAGACGGGAGCCCGCACAAGCAGUGGAGUAUGUGGUUUAAUUCGACGCAACGCGAAGAACCUUACCGGGACUUGACAUCCUGAGAAUCCGGCGUAAAUGCCGGAGUGCCCUUCGGGGAGCUCAGAGACAGGUGGUGCAUGGUUGUCGUCAGCUCGUGUCGUGAGAUGUUGGGUUAAGUCCCGCAACGAGCGCAACCCUUACGGUUAGUUGCUACGCAAGAGCACUCUAGCCGGACUGCCGUUGACAAAACGGAGGAAGGUGGGGACGACGUCAAAUCAUCAUGCCCCUUACGUUCCGGGCUACACACGUACUACAAUGGCGCAAAAACAGAGGGGAGCGAGGCCGCGAGGCGGAGCAAAUCCCAAAAAGGCGCCCCAGUUCAGAUUGCAGGCUGCAACCCGCCUGCAUGAAGUCGGAAUUGCUAGUAAUCGCAAAUCAGAAUGUUGCGGUGAAUACGUUCCCGGGCUUUGUACACACCGCCCGU
rnacentral:rRNA from 1 species